rnacentral:lncRNA from 1 species
ACAAGUUCGGCUCGACUUGUCUCCAAUGAUAAGGAAUUCAUGAGCUAGGGCUCGUCUUGAGCAAUUGCGAUGAUGUUUCAAAGAUGCGAGGUCUUAGAACUUGCCUCGAGUAAUAGAGAUGAUAGUCAAAUGUGCCUUAAAUAAGAGAAAUCCCAUGUCGAUAUAUUUUUGAACACUUGGUGUGCUUAUGACCUUUGUAUAAGUUGUUGUUGAUGUUUAUUUGUAGCCUUCAAGUUAUUUGAAACAAUUGUGGCAACUCAGGUAGAAGGAAAAGAAUCCAGAAGAUGUGCCGAACUUGAAGAAAAUAACUCACCAAAUAUUGUCCCAUGUAAAGAAAAGCAGAUUUAGGCCCAAUCAAAGCCCAGUAGUAGCAAUUGUACCAUGGAAAAUAAAUCUAGGAGUUAGUUUAGAAUAAUAUCCAAUAUACCCAAUUAAAUCAGUUGACUCAAAUAAAAGUAGCAGGCCCAAUCAAUGAAAUAAUAAAUAGUAAUCCACCAAAAAGCUUAUAGAUAGAAGCUAAAAUAUCUGACAAGAACCCAAAGCGAACAGCCUACUUUCAGAAAAGUUCAUAGAUUUAGGUGAGAAUAUAUGUUGUACCAACCCAAGAAAAAGAACCAAGAAAUUGACGUAUCUAGUUGAGCCUAAUCUUUAAGACAAAAGGAGGCUAUGAGGCCCAAUAAAAUAAAUUUGCUGGUCCAAUCAAGUUCAAAAAUUUAAGCCCAUUAAAUCUCUGUAGACCAUAAAUUAGUUGGGACAGAUGUGCUAAAAAGGUCCAUUUAAAAGAAUAAGGUUUUGGUCACUUUAAAUCAAAAGAUUAACAUGGGCCCAAUUUUACAUAAACAGUUGCCCAAUCUACUAAGCCCAUCAACUAGCAAUUAAUUCUUCCAAGAGGCCCAAUAACUAACCAAUAUAUAAUCAUUAUGUCUUCCACAACCUGUUAAUUGACAAGUACCAAUUAGGCCGAAAAGUCAGUUUCUCUUUCCCACAAAGUAGCUGGCGUGAACCAUUUGCAAAGUAAUCAUCAUCAGACUUGUCUCCAUCACCAUUAAUGUGCACACAACUAGACUCGAGCUCUAGCCAAGGACCUUGCUGUGAAGAUUUUCCGGUGGGUUGCGGGUGGCAGCUACUUAAAUAAUGGUGGUCGUCGGAGGUCAUGGAGGUUUCAAUAAUAGUUGAGACAGUAGACAAAAGUCGAAGCUGGACAUUCUCGUCCUUGGUGAUGCCGGUGGUUACCUCCAAAGUGGUCACCGGAGCUUGCAACAUUAAUUGGAACAAGCUGUACUUAUCUUUUCAUUUUUCAGUUACUUUUCAUUUGCACUGGAGCUCCCAUCUUUUCCUGUAACCAAAUAUUUGAAAGAAGUAAAAUGGCAGGUAAAACCAUUAUCAUUGAGAGUCAGUUGUUGCAAGAGAGGUUUUUUUAAUUCAAAUUUGGAGAGAAAUAAUGGCUUCCCUUUUUCCUUGGAUUUAUGCUUGGAGAUGCUAUCAAAUAUUUUUAAUUUUAUCAACACAAAUGGCUGCCUUCUUCCCCUGCAUUCUUGUGGUUGAAUUCUUCAAUUUGAUGUUGAAAAUUUCCUUUCAAGAUCUGCCUUCAUUUUUCCCAUGAGUAGAUUCUUGUGUUGCCCCUUUCUUUCCAACAAGUUACUCGUCUUCUUUUUGUAUGGCUGGCUCUAUCGUUUUGGUAGAGGAAACUACCCAGAAAAUCCCAUCCCGUCUGGUUGCUGUCUUUUAUCUUUUGGUAGAACAUUGUCGCUCGGAAAUUUUUCAAUUUUCGGUGACCUUUAGGUAUGUGGUAUAACAUGGUUAACAUAGCGUUUCCCACAGACGGCGCCAAUCUGUUGACCUCCAAAAAUGGCUCCAACAGGUUCCCUAGCCUCGAGUCCUCGAUACCUGCGCAAGUAGCACCCCGUCAAGAGGCAAAGGCGGCCGAACAAGAAAAAUGUCCGGCAACCGUUUGCACUCCGACGGUCCAGUCAACGGCCGGACGGAAAUAAAUAUAUAGAGUGCAAUAAUAUGG